CCUACGGGCGGCAGCAGUGGGGAAUAUUGGACAAUGGGCGAAAGCCUGAUCCAGCCAUGCCUCGUGUGUGAAGAAGGCCUUCGGGUUGUAAAGCACUUUCAGUGGGGAAGAAAGCCUUGGGGCUAAUACCCUCGAGGAAGGACAUCACCCACAGAAGAAGCACCGGCUAACUCCGUGCCAGCAGCCGCGGUAAUACGGAGGGUGCGAGCGUUAAUCGGAAUUACUGGGCGUAAAGCGCGCGUAGGCGGUCUGAUAAGCCGGUUGUGAAAGCCCCGGGCUCAACCUGGGAACGGCAUCCGGAACUGUCAGGCUAGAGUGCAGGAGAGGAAGGUAGAAUUCCCGGUGUAGCGGUGAAAUGCGUAGAGAUCGGGAGGAAUACCAGUGGCGAAGGCGGUCUUCUGGACUGACACUGACGCUGAGGUGCGAAAGCGUGGGUAGCAAACAGGAUUAGAUACCCUAGUAGUC
rnacentral:rRNA from 1 species